UACGGAGGGUGCGAGCGUUAUCCGGAAUUACUGGGCUUAAAGGGUGCGUAGGCGGCUAUGUAAGUCAGGUGUGAAAGUUUGCGGCUCAACCGUAAAAUUGCUUUUGAUACUGCAUGGCUGGAAUCAGGAUGAGGUCAGCGGAAUGUGGCAUGUAGCGGUGAAAUGCAUAGAUAUGCCAUAGAACACCAAUUGCGAAGGCAGCUGGCUAGGCCUGUAUUGACGCUGAGGCACGAAAGCGUGGGGAGCGAACAGG
rnacentral:rRNA from 1 species